CGCCCCCUUGGCCACCGCCCCCUCUUAUUGUUUUACCCCUGCCGAAAGGGCCAGGGAACCCCCCAGCACAACGCCAGCCAAUCACGUAUCUCCUUUGAGCUCCGGACCCAACCUCCUCGCGUCGCUGCGCGGAGCAUGCGCAGUGCACCACCGCGCUCGCGGAUACUCGCGCCGGAAAGCCGGGCACCACAACCGGACUGCAGCUGGCGGGUGCGCUGAUCUGACGUCACAGGGGCGGCCGCUCCCGCCCCACCCGCGUGGUGCCGCACCUCUGCGCAGCGGCGUUCCCGAGCCUCACAGGUGGGCAGAGAACUGCUUGGAUAGCUUCAUCACACACUGUCUUCAGACCUCAUUGGGUGAGAGCUGAGCACUCCAGGAUGAUGGGAGUGUUAAGACAAUGGUGUCACACUUCUGGAUACCACUUUGACUGCCCCCUCUGAUGAUUACUCACAUGGAACCUGGCCUCCCAUGGCACAAUACAGGAAUGAGAAUAUCUAGAGUCCAGAAUGAGGUACACCCAAGGGAGAGGACUGUGGCAGAGACUGGCAUAGAGACGGCACCUUGAAUGCUUGCUGAAUCAGUAACGGAAGAAACCAAGUCUGUCUUCUCUCAGGAUUCUGGUAUCCGGAGCUAUUUUCAGAGCUGAAAAAAAAACUCACUGUAUUUUCGUGGGUGUAACACUGUGGCUGUAGAUAUUAGCCAGCAGUUUCAUUCAGUUUCCUGGCUUGCUCUCGUCACUCUACCGCUUCGUCCCUCCUUCUUCUCUCCUUCUUCGAAGCCCUCUGCCCUCUCUUCAUCCAUCAGCUCCUACAGCUCCAUGUGCCCCAAAGAGGAAGGGACUGAGGAAGAACCCUGGGAAACUCUCAGAGUAGAGUAGCUCCUGCUGAGACCAGGACCAGCCUUUCCAGACUGGCAGAAAAAACCCCAAAUCACUGCAGCAAGGAGCCUGGGCCAGGGUCAGCCACCAGGGGCAGAAGAGCUAAGACUGCAGAAGGGCCCUGAAUCCAGGCCAGAUCAACCCAACAGACACGCCUAUGGUGGUUCUGAAGUUCACAGGAAUGGCUAAUAUACACUCGAAGAAAGUGCAUUAAAUAAGUCAUUGCACAGAUUCAUUUUAAGUAAACAAGAGAAUUAUCACUAACAAUAUGCUAGUGGCACUGCUGGAAGCUUUUAGGGAUACAGUGAAUAUCUACGACUUUUCCUAUCUUGAUAAACUAUAUCCUGGCACAGUACUGCAGCUUUCUUUUGAGGAACAACCCUGCUCCCCAGUUCUUUUUCUGGAUUCUGUGCGAUAAGCUAAGGGUUCCCACUCCUUGCUUUAGUGGUAAACAUCUGACUCAGUGCCACUAAGAACACCUCCA